GACGAACGCUGGCGGCGUGCUUAACACAUGCAAGUCGAACGGUGAAGCCCUUCGGGGUGGAUCAGUGGCGAACGGGUGAGUAACACGUGAGCAGCCUGCCCCUGGCUCUGGGACAACCACUGGAAACGGUGGCUAAUACCGGAUACGACCCGCCUCGGCAUCGAGUGUGGGUGGAAAGUUUUUCGGCUGGGGAUGGGCUCGCGGCCUAUCAGCUUGUUGGUGAGGUGAAGGCUCACCAAGGCGACGACGGGUAGCCGGCCUGAGAGGGCGACCGGCCACACUGGGACUGAGACACGGCCCAGACUCCUACGGGAGGCAGCAGUGGGGAAUAUUGCACAAUGGGCGAAAGCCUGAUGCAGCGACGCCGCGUGAGGGAUGACGGCCUUCGGGUUGUAAACCUCUUUCAGCUCCGAAGAAGCGAAAGUGACGGUAGGAGCAGAAGAAGCACCGGCUAACUACGUG
rnacentral:rRNA from 1 species